UACGAAGGGGGCUAGCGUUGCUCGGAAUCACUGGGCGUAAAGCGCACGUAGGCGGCUUACUAAGUCAGGGGUGAAAUCCUGGAGCUCAACUCCAGAACUGCCUUUGAUACUGGUGAGCUUGAGUCCGGAAGAGGUGAGUGGAACUGCGAGUGUAGAGGUGAAAUUCGUAGAUAUUCGCAAGAACACCAGUGGCGAAGGCGGCUCACUGGUCCGGUACUGACGCUGAGGCGCGAAAGCGUGGGGAGCAAACAGGGAUUAAGA
rnacentral:rRNA from 1 species